rnacentral:rRNA from 1 species
UACGGGGGGAGCAAACGUUGUUCGGAAUCACUGGGCGUAAAGGGCGUGUAGGCGGCUGGAUAAGUGGGAUGUUAAAUCCCCCGGCUCAACCGGGGACCUGCAUCUCAUACUGUUCAGCUCGAGCACAUCAGAGGAGACUGGAAUUCCCGGUGUAGUGGUGAAAUGCGUAGAUAUCCGGAGGAACACCAGUGGCGAAGGCGACUUCCUGGACCAGUACCGACGUUCAGGCACGAAAGCGUGGGGAGCAAACAGG